rnacentral:rRNA from 1 species
UGGGGAAUAUUGGGCAAUGGAGGGAACUCUGACCCAGCAACGCCGCGUGAAUGAUGAAGGUCUUCGGAUUGUAAAGUUCUGUGACGGGGGACGAAGAAAGUGACGGUACCCCGAAAGCAAGCUACGGCUAACUACGUGCCAGCAGCCGCGGUAAUACGUAGGUAGCAAGCGUUGUCCGGAAUGACUGGGCGUAAAGGGUGCGUAGGUGGCUAGGCAAGUUGGUAGUGAAAUUCCGGGGCUUAACUCCGGCGCUACUACCAAGACUGUUUAGCUUGAGUACAGGAGAGGUAAGUGGAAUUCCUAGUGUAGCGGUGGAAUGCGUAGAUAUUAGGAGGAACACCGGUGGCGAAAGCGACUUACUGGCCUGCAACUGACACUGAGGCACGAAAGCGUGGGGAGCAAACAGG